rnacentral:rRNA from 1 species
ACGGGUGAGUAAUAUAUCGGAACGUGCCCAGUCGUGGGGGAUAACUGUUCGAAAGAAUAGCUAAUACCGCAUACGACCUGAGGGUGAAAGCGGGGGAUCGCAAGACCUCGCGCGAUUGGAGCGGCCGAUAUCAGAUUAGGUAGUUGGUGGGGUAAAAGCCCACCAAGCCAACGAUCUGUAGCUGGUCUGAGAGGACGACCAGCCACACUGGGACUGAGACACGGCCCAGACUCCUACGGGAGGCAGCAGUGGGGAAUUUUGGACAAUGGGCGCAAGCCUGAUCCAGCCAUGCCGCGUGCGGGAAGAAGGCCUUCGGGUUGUAAACCGCUUUUGUCAGGGAAGAAAAGGUUCUGGUUAAUACCUGGGACUCAUGACGGUACCUGAAGAAUAAGCACCGGCUAACUACGUGCCAGCAGCCGCGGUAAUACGUAGGGUGCAAGCGUUAAUCGGAAUUACUGGGCGUAAAGCGUGCGCAGGCGGUUAUGCAAGACAGAGGUGAAAUCCCCGGGCUCAACCUGGGAACUGCCUUUGUGACUGCAUAGCUAGAGUACGGUAGAGGGGGAUGGAAUUCCGCGUGUAGCAGUGAAAUGCGUA